rnacentral:lncRNA from 1 species
UUCAAAAUACGUGUCUUCUUCAUAUCCCCAAUACAAGUUCACUUUCUUUCCCUCCCAUGGCUUCACCACCGACAAUUAACCUCAUCUGGGUAGUCUUCUCCAGCGUACCCAUCGGAGAUCCCUGCUAUUCUUAGAACAUCACAGCUAACAGAACUUGAAGACGAUUGUUGCAGAAUAGGUCAAAAUUAGGGUUUGUAUUUUUUCAAAACAAACAGAGAUUAUGAGCACCUCCGUACAAUUUCCAGAAUAAAAAAUCGUGACCACCAUCUUCAACCAAACAGAGCACACGAUGGCGACGACCAACGCACGGUCUAAUAUUAAGGACUACCAUAACUACACAGUUGCACGCGUGCUGUUCUUGCGCAUAUGGGCGGAACAUUAUGGGGAUCUAUGAGGCACAUUAUACCAGCUUCCACAUCAACACUUAGCACCCCCGCUGCAACGCGGGGGGUGCUUCCUUCUAGUUGUUAGCUAAUUUUGACGUUAGAUUUUUCAAAUGUUUAGCUUAGUUCACUACUUCACUAUAUUAACCAACUAAUAUUAUCACCUACACAUAUUGUCGUCCCUUUUCGCGGAGGAUUACGAACAUAAACCUUGUUAUACUAACCCACUAGCAAGUGCGGAAUCCAAGCUAGUAGGCAAACCGGGAUGAAGCAAGUAGAGAAACAAGCACACAAGGUUUCACCGAUUAACACCAAUGUAUUAAUACGUAUGAAGGUUACGAUUACAAGCACAAUGUUUACAAAACCAAAGAUGUAAACUCUCAAGUGU